GCCACAGGGAAGGCUGUAUUUUAGUCUCUUAAUUUCCUGACCCAACUACUCAAGUAAGGCGAAGAAAGCAGAUGGAAAUUAAAUGCCAACAUAAACUUCAAGUCUCAUACCAAAACACCAAUUCGUAAGUGUAUAAGAAGUAGAACUCUACUCGUGAAAACUGCGACAAAUUUAAACAUCAAAAUGUGGUCGAUAACUGAAAACUGAAAACAAGGGUCCACCUAAACAAGAGAGAGCCUAACAGAACUAGUAAACCAAGCAAUGACAGAAUUCAAUUCCAGAAAUUCAUCCAUCUAUCGAACCUCCAUUUACUAUUGCACAUAACCUUUAAGACCAACACAACAACCUUUAAAAGUGACAUACCAACUCUACACUUAAUCUACAAGCAUAUGAUGAAUAAACAGGAAGAAGAUAUAACAAUGCAACAAUUAAAGGAUACAGUUCUGCCUUAUGUAUCAAAGUCUCUAUCUUCAUCAUAAUUCACAUCUUCAACAAGAAGUUUCACCAAAAAAAGUCAAAAGGUAACAAAACACCGAGUUCCACUAAGUCAUUUAAGUACCUUGGAAAGUCCAAAUGGAGCGCC